CUGGUCGUAGCAUACAGCCCAUAUUCCAUUGCAGGUGAUGGGCCAACGUUCGUGUUGAGAUCCGCUGAGUUUCUUCGUACUCGUGGAGUUGAAUUUGUGGCAGAAAUUGCACUGAAUUGCAGUCAAAUGGUUGUGAAUGAAACGAGAUUUGUGGAAAAUGACGCCACUUCCCGUGUUAGCCGCUGGUCGUAGCAUACAGCCCAUAUUCCAUUGCAGGUGAUGGGCGAAAGUUCUUGUGGAGAUCCGCUGAGCUUCCUCGGCGUACUCGUGGAUUUAUGAAUUUGUGUCAGAAAUUGCAGUCGAGUGGACUUCUGUGCGUGUGUUGUGAGUAAAUCGCGACGGCUCCCUUCCUUCAGCAUCGUCAAAACGCAACAUAGAGCAUUAUUACGCACUCGUUCCAUGAUUCAUGAUAAUGCCUGGAUUCUUUUAAAAACAAUCAAUGUGUGUUCCCUAUCUAUCUACAUUGUACAUGGUUGCAGGUCGUUAUUUAUAAAUCUUGAUAAUUUCAACACUUUUCUA